rfam:Xanthomonas fragariae strain PD5205 genome assembly, chromosome: 1
GUGUACCAGACGUGCACGUUGGUUCCCGCGCAGUCCACGCCAGCUGACGGCUGCCUGCUACGCCUGUCAGCC